GCCCAUGUGGCGCAGUGGUUAGUGUGACUGCCUGCCACGCAGAAGGUUCCGGGUUCAAUUCCCGGUGGGGUA